AGGCUUGCGCCCAUUGGGGAAGAUUCCCUACUGCUGCCUCCCGUAGGAGUAUGGGCCGUGUCUCAGUCCCAUUGUGGCCGAUCAGUCUCUCAACUCGGCUAUGCAUCAUCGCCUUGGUAGGCCGUUACCCCACCAACAAGCUAAUGCACCGCAGGUCCAUCCAGAAGUGAUAGCGAGAAGCCAUCUUUUAAGCGUUGUUCAUGCGAACAACGUUGUUAUGCGGUAUUAGCAUCUGUUUCCAAAUGUUGUCCCCCGCUUCUGGGCAGGUUACCUACGUGUUACUCACCCGUCCGCCACUCGUUGGCGACCAAAAUCAAUCAGGUGCAAGCACCGUCAAUCAAUUGGGCCAACGCGUUCGACUUGCAUGUAUUAGGCACACCGCCGGCGUUCAUCCUGAGCC
rnacentral:rRNA from 1 species